rnacentral:rRNA from 1 species
UGAGGAAUAUUGGUCAAUGGACGCAAGUCUGAACCAGCCAAGUAGCGUGCAGGAUGACGGCCCUAUGGGUUGUAAACUGCUUUUAUAUGGGGAUAAAGUGGGGAACGUGUUCCCUUUUGCAGGUACCAUAUGAAUAAGGACCGGCUAAUUCCGUGCCAGCAGCCGCGGUAAUACGGAAGGUUCGGGCGUUAUCCGGAUUUAUUGGGUUUAAAGGGAGCGUAGGCCGUUUGGUAAGCGUGUUGUGAAAUGUAGGAGCUCAACUUCUAGAUUGCAGCGCGAACUGUCAGACUUGAGUGCGCACAACGUAGGCGGAAUUCAUGGUGUAGCGGUGAAAUGCUUAGAUAUCAUGAAGAACUCCGAUUGCGAAGGCAGCUUACUGUAGCAUAACUGACGCUGAUGCUCGAAAGUGCGGGUAUCAAACAGG